AGUGAACGCUGGCGGCAGGCCUAACACAUGCAAGUCGAACGGCAGCACAGGGGAGCUUGCUCCCUGGGUGGCGAGUGGCGGACGGGUGAGGAAUACAUCGGAAUCUGCCCUGUCGUGGGGGAUAACCUCGGGAAACCGGGACUAAUACCGCAUACGACCUUCGGUGAAAGAGGGGAGUCGCAAGACCUCUCGCGAUUGGAUGAGCCGAUGUCGGAUUAGCUAGUUGGCGGGGUAAAGGCCCACCAAGGCGACGAUCCGUAGCUGGUCUGAGAGGAUGAUCAGCCACACUGGAACUGAGACACGGUCCAGACUCCUACGGGAGGCAGCAGUGGGGAAUAUUGGACAAUGGGCGCAAGCCUGAUCCAGCCAUGCCGCGUGAGUGAAGAAGGCCUUCGGUUGGUUAAAG
rnacentral:rRNA from 1 species